GGUGAUCCUGCCAGUAGUCAUA
rnacentral:rRNA from 1 species